UCAGUGAGAGAAUCUUUAGAACCUUAGCUUCUAACAACUGGUGAAGUAUAAAACAGCAAGAAAGUGAGACAUUGCCGGUAAUUCCAUAUCCAGCCUGCCAUUCAUUUCGUCAAUUGACGGCUCGCGAGGUUGCUGACUGGCAUUGCCGCGAGUAGGAAAUCCCUCUAAUCCCUGGGUCGGUAAAUGCUGACGACGAGUUCCGAUUCUAAUUGGAAACGCGUUAACCAUGGCCCAUCGAAAUCAACUACGUUUGAGUAAGGAACGAAACCCUUUCGACGGUCCAAUAAUACAAUGGAGCAGGCAACAGCCGCAGCAAGCGAGAAGUCCCAGUUGUGACGAAUUUCAUGGAUUUACGGAAGCAGAAUUGAAAAGAGGAAAGAAGCGUAAAUACGCUGUGGAGGGUAAUGAAAUGCCUGUAGGCUCACCGAUCAGGCGAUCGAAAAGGUUGAAAAGGACGAGAAAGAUAGAUGAUAAUUUUGUAUACUCAAGUUAAAAUAAUGUGAAAUUGAUCACGUUCGAAUUAAUUAUAAUUUUAAUAAUGUACCCUUGAAUUAAAAAUAAUUUUGAAUUUUACUAAAAUACAGUUAUAAGAAUCUUUCUAAAUGGGAAGAGCUGAAGUAUAUAGAUUUAGUGUGUGGGCGAAAGCUCAGUCGAUUAUCGGGCGAAACCCGUUAAACGGUAGAAAUAUAAUACCAUACGUAUGUGUAGAAGCUAGAACGACGAGAAUAAAAAUGAGAUGAGUU